GACGAACCGUCCUAACGUUGUUCGGAAUCACUGGGCUUAAAGGGCGCGUAGGCGGCCCGCCGAGUCGGGGGUGAAAUCCCACGGCCCAACCGUGGAAGGGCCUCCGAUACUGACGGGCUCGAGGGAGGUAGGGGCAGGUGGAACUUCCGGUGGAGCGGUGAAAUGCGUUGAUAUCGGAAGGAACGCCGGUGGCGAAAGCGACCUGCUGGACCUCUGCUGACGCUGAGGCGCGAAAGCCAGGGGAGCGAACGGG
rnacentral:rRNA from 1 species